UUAUUGAAAUAAACCUGAUGAGUUGCUGCUGACUCUUCUUGGGAAGAGUAUGUGCACACUUGUCAUCUUUAUAUCUCCACCUUUGUGCACCUUUUGUAGGCCUGUAUAUCUUUCUGAGUUGUUAGUGACUCAGGUUUGAGGAUUGAUUUUAAAUAAUCUUUCUUUACAUUUGCAGGCCUAUGUUUCAUAUACCCCAUUGUAUGUUUUAGAAUGUAAUAAACGGGCCUUUGUGCCUAUAAACAUUAAUACAACUUUCAGCAACGGAUCUCUUGGCUCUCGCAUCGAUGAAGAACGCAGCGAAAUGCGUUAAGUAAUGUGAAUUGCAGAAUUCAGUGAAUCAUCGAAUCUUUGAACGCACCUUGCGCUCCUUGGUAUUCCUUGGAGCAUGCCUGUUUGAGUGUCAUUAAUAUAUCAACCUCUUCAGCCUUUGGCUUGUUGAGUGUUGGAUGUGGGUUUGCUGGUUUCUCUCUUUUGAGGUCAGCUCUCCUGAAAUGCAUUAGCUGAACAAUUUGUGGACCUUGUUCAUUGGUGUGAUAAUUAUCUACGCUAUUGACAACAAAGCAAGCUCAGCUUCUAAUAGUCCAUUGACUUGGACAAUGUUUAUAUCAAUGUGACCUCAAAUCAGGUAGGACUACCCGCUGAAC
rnacentral:rRNA from 1 species